rnacentral:lncRNA from 1 species
CCUGUUUUUCAGUUGGUACGUUUUAACAAUGUGUACCGAAUUAUAGUAGACAAAAAUACUCUCAUUUAUCAUGGAUUCUAAGUUUUAAAGUCAAUGAUAUUUAAAUGUUGGAGUGAGAGACAUGAUAGAGAAAAUGUUGGGGUGAGAGAGAUGAAAGAGGAAGGGUUGAGAGGAAGGAAUGAGGGAGGUGAGUAAGGGUUUCGGGUUUUUUUUUUUUAGUUUUGAGAAUGAAAAUUAUUUAAAUAUCCUUGACUUUAAAACUUAGAAUCCAUGAUAAAUGAGGGUAUUUUUGUCUACUAUAAUUCGGUACACAUUGUUAAAACGUACCAACUGAAAAACAGGCGUACGCGUGUUAACAAACCCCUAUAUAUAUAUAUAUAUAUAUA